rnacentral:lncRNA from 1 species
CUUUACUAUGGUUCUUUUAAUCUUUUUCAGAGGGAUAAAGAACAAUUUCCUCACCUUUACCAGAUAUUUCCCAAGGACACAUCUCUACUACUAGCCAUGGUGUCCCUAGAGAUUAACUUCAGAUGAAACUAGAUUGGAGUGACCAUUAGAGGUUAUGACCAUGGAUUUCAAUUACUUUCUGAAUUGUGGGGAGAAAUUAAAAGAAAUAUUGUUUGUUUAUCAGGUCGGAUUAUUAUCCAAAAUGAUAAGUGAAUAUUCUUUAAAGUGCAUCGAAUGUAUUAUUAACAAAUCACUAAGUCAGCAGCAAAAGUUGUGAGUGUGUGUGUGUUAUGGAGACAAAAAUUCUAAUUUGCAGUUUAACUUCAUUCUGUGGAAAUAUAAAUGUAUUUGGAGAACCUGGUUAAGUGUGUCACAAUUUGAUAUGAUCACAAUUACAGGAGAUUUUUUUACUAUACUCCUCUCCUGGAACAUUCAUUUUAUCACAUCGGGAACCUGAAAUAUAUAGCUUUGAACAAUGUAUUCAAAUAGUACACCCUUCAAACUACAGUAGUGAAUUUUCCCUUGACAAACUAUGGUGUACAUAUUUUAGAUGUUCUUUGCCAACAUGUAAUUGUAAGAAGCUGAAGAAUGGUCCUACUAAAACUGUAUUUAAAUAGUUAUUCAUGACACCACUUUGAAUGGUCAUGAGUGAUAUAUGUUAUAAUUUAUACAAUGCUAUGUAUGCUGUGGCCAACACACUCCAUGAGAUCCCUCUGCAACAAACUGAUGCAUGGUCGAAGAAUGCUGGGAAGGAACUGGAAUUUGGCUCUUGGAAGAUGCUCUCUUUUCUGAAUAACUUGUAUUUUGUAAAUCCUGCUGUAGACCUACUCAACAGGACUCAGAAUUUAAGACAGGAUACCAUGUAUGACUGUUGC